AGCGCCUCGGGCAGAGGGUCAGAAAGGAUGGUUGCUGCAACGUCCAAAUCACGUGUGUCACUCUCUAGGUGGGAGUGUUGCUUGGUUAGGAUUCACUGGCAGUAAUGAAUGAGGGAAGGAGAGGGAAACGUCUUUACCCGCAGGGAGCUAGCUUCCAAGGAGGUCUCUGAAAGCAAGGUUCUAGUCCUCAUGGUUCUGAAUAAAGGACUGAAUCAGGAAUCGUAGAAUCGUAGAGUUGGAAGGCACCCCAGGGGUCAUCUAGUCCAACCCCCUGCAAUGCAGGAAUCUCAACCAAAGCAUCCAUGACAGACGCCCAUCCAACCUCUGCUUUAAAACCUUCAAGGAAGGAGAGUCCACAACCUCCAGAGGGAGACCGUUCCGCUGUCAAACAGCUCUGACUGUCAGAAAGUCCUGCCUGGUGUUUAGACCGAAUCUCCUUUCUUGUCAUUGGAAGCCAUUGGUUCGAGUCCUGUCCUCCAGAGCAGGAGAAAACAAGCUUGCUCCAUCUUCCAUGUGCCAGCCCUUGAGAUAUUUGAGGAUGGCUCUCAUAUCUCCUCUCAGUCUUCUCUUUUCCAGGCUAAACAUGCCCUUCAAGCACUCCUCAUAAGGCUUAGUUUCCAGACCCUUGAUCAUCUUGGUUACUCUCCUCUGCACACCUUCCAGCUUGUCAAUAUCCAUCUUAAAUUGUGGUACCCAGAAAUGGACACAGUAUUCCAGGUGGGGUCUGACCAAGGCAGAAUAGAGUGGUCCUAUGACUUCCCUUGAUCAGGACAGUAUAUUUCUGCUGAUGCAGCCUAGAAUAGCAUUAGCAAGCCUCUUCAUGCCAAGUCUAUUGGUCCAUCCAGCACAGCUUUGUCUACACUGAUUGCCAGUGGCCUUCCUGGGCAUCACACAUGAGUCUCUCUCAGCGCUGCCUUUGGAGAACCUAGGGGAUCGAACCUGCAACCUUUUGCUUGCAGGUCAGAUGUUCUGCCCCUGAGCUGUUGUCCUUCCCCCAAGAGUAAAGCAAGAUUGCAGUCCUCAUGGGUCGGGGGG